rnacentral:rRNA from 1 species
CAGUCGCCGCGGUAAUACGAAGGGGGCUAGCGUUGCUCGGAAUUACUGGGCGUAAAGGGCGCGUAGGCGGACAGUUCAGUCGGGGGUGAAAGCCCGGGGCUCAACCUCGGAAUUGCCUUCGAUACUGGCUGUCUUGAGUAUGAGAGAGGUGUGUGGAACUCCGAGUGUAGAGGUGAAAUUCGUAGAUAUUCGGAAGAACACCAGUGGCGAAGGCGACACACUGGCUCAUUACUGACGCUGAGGCGCGAAAGCGUGGGGAGCGAACAGGAUUAGAUACCCCAGUAGUCCCUGUCUCUUAUAC